rnacentral:rRNA from 1 species
GUCCAGACUCCUAAGGGAGGCAGCAGUCGGGAAUAUUGCGCAAUGGAGGAAACUCUGACGCAGUGACGCCGCGUAUAGGAAGAAGGUUUUCGGAUUGUAAACUAUUGUCGUGAGGGAAGAAAUUGACAGUACCUCAGGAGGAAGCUCCGGCUAACUAUGUGCCAGCAGCCGCGGUAAUACAUAGGGAGCAAGCGUUAUCCGGAUUUAUUGGGUGUAAAGGGUGCGUGGACGGAGAAGCAAGUUAGUUGUGAAAUCCCGCGGCUUAACCGAGGAACUGCAACUAAAACUACUUCCCUUGAGUGCUGGAGAGGAAAGUGGAAUUCCUAGUGUAGCGGUGAAAUGCGUAGAUAUUAGGAGGAACACCAGUGGCGAAGGCGACUUUCUGGACAGUAACUGACGUUGAGGCACGAAAGUGUGGGGAGCAAACAGGAUUAGAUACCCCAGUA